GAGACUGCCAGGGAUAACCUGGAGGAAGGUGGGGAUGACGUCAAAUCAUCAUGCCCCUUAUGCUUAGGGCUACACACGUGCUACAAUGGGUAGUACAGAGGGUUGCCAAGCCGUAAGGUGGAGCUAAUCCCUUAAAGCUACUCUCAGUUCGGAUUGUAGGCUGAAACUCGCCUACAUGAAGCUGGAGUUACUAGUAAUCGCAGAUCAGAAUGCUGCGGUGAAUGCGUUCCCGGGUCUUGUACACACCGCCCGUCACACCACGGGAGUUGGAGACGCCCGAAGCCGAUUAUCUAACCUUUUGGAAGAAGUCGUCGAAGGUGGAAUCAAUAACUGGGGUGAAGUCGUAACAAGGUAGCCGUAUCGGAAGGUGCGGCUGGAUCACCUCCUUUCUAAGGAGA
rnacentral:rRNA from 1 species